AGGAGCUUCCCCACCAAACCCUAACUUGUGCAAAUUGAUCAAAUUGGGGCUUCAAAUCAGUUCCAAAUCGAUUUCCAAGCACGAAAUUGUCAUCUCCAUUGAAAGGGGAGUCAUAAGGUAAACUUAGAAAUCUGAAAUUGAUGUUUGAUCUCGUCAAACUAAGUGGGAGCUGGAAAGGAAUGGAUCAAACGGGUCAAGUGCGCAAGGAAAGCUCGAACGGACGCAAACUGAACGAAUAGAAAUUUGGAUAAUUACGUCAUCAUAGAAUAUUGAAUUAAUAAUAGCAAGGCAUAAACGGGUCUAUACGUUGACCCGAGCCAGGUACGCUUAUAUAUAGAUUUAUAGUUAAAAGUGUUUAACUUCCCUUCACGGGUCAAAAGGAGUAGAUAGGUAAAACGGGUUAAGAAUUCAUAAGAAACCCGUAAUUUGAACCUUGCACAUUAGUAAACUGAUAUAACGUGAUAUGCAUGAUAUUUUGAAAAGGGUAAUAAACAAGUUUGUUUGAUAAAUCACGAACGGGUCAAAAAGUGUCAUAAUUGAAUUUCAAGCCGAGAGCUUGAAAGUUAAAAUUUUGUGAAUUCAGAUGUUGGAUUUUAACU
rnacentral:lncRNA from 1 species